AAAAAAAAAAAAAAAAAAAAAAAAAAAACAGCCCCGAAGGCUUUCUCACAGCUGCGACUGAAUACUCAUUCAAAAAGUGGAUCAGUGAAUUUCAGAAACCUAUUGACAUGUAUUCCAUGAACGGAACAAGACUUUUACAAGUGAUUCGCUUAUUUUUUUCGCAGACAUGAAACUCUAUGAUAAACAGAGAAAGUAUUUGCAAAGAAAUUUUUUUCCGAAUCAUGUGUUUUUCAUAUGACUAUGAAGUAAAUAUGUUCGUGAAUGACUGCCAGGCGGAAAAGAAAAGUGAUAACUUGUGGAACCUUCAAUAAACUGAAUUCAUAACGUAAACUUCGAAAUGAGCGAAGGCUUCUUUAUAGCUUUCAGAAAAAUCGUGGGAUCUUUCUUGCCAAAAAGAGAGCGUUCGUUUUCCAUUGCUGUUGAGGCGUUUCACCUGAAUUGAGUGAAAAUACGAUUAAUAAACCUGCUAAGCAGAAUAUAAAAUUAAGAAAUAAGCUCAGGAGAAUAUAAAAUUAAUAAACCUGUUCAGCAGAAUAUAUGAAUAAUAAACCUGCUAAACAGAAUAUAAGAUUAAUAAACUUUCUAAGCAGAACAUAAAGUUCAUAAACCUGCUAAGCAAAAUAUAAGAUUAAUAAACUUUCUAAGCAGAAUAUAAAAUUCAUAAACCUGCUAAGCAGAAUAUAAGAUUAAUAAACCUGCUAAGCAGAAUAUAAGAUUAACCUGCUAAGCAGAAUAAAAGAUUAAUAAACUUUCUAAGCAGAAUAUAAAAUUAAUAAACCUGCUAAGCCGAAUAUAAGAUUAAUAAACCUGCUAAGCCGAAUAUAAGAUUAAUAAACCUUCUAAGCCGAAUAUAAGAUUAAUAAACCUGCUAAGCAGAAUAUAACAAGCUUUUGAAAGACGGACCUUAUGAACAUUGCCUCCAGCAUUGACGUUUAUGAAAGGUGAAUCUAAGGAAGUACCGAAUAGACAGUUCCCCACUGCAGAAAAGGUCUUUCAGUCCUCGAGUGUCCCAUCGACAAGGAAUUGACUCUGAUGCAAAGGCCGCGAGUGAACUGAAGUCCUUCCGCCUCCUACAGGUCCCUUCGCCGUAAGACUCACCUCAUACCUCACGGUGGCUAAACAAAAGACACCUCCAAAAUGUAUGGAAUGGUGGGAGGCAGCGGGGGAGGAGGUGGAGGCGGAGGAGGAGGAGGAGGUGGAGGUAGGAGUAAAAGCAGCGGUGGAGGAGGCAGUACCAGGACCGGCAGUCGGAGACAAACCCAGUACCGGGGCCAGCAGUCCCAGUCCAAGGAGGCUAAUGCAGCUGCUCCCAGCACCCCGAGACCUCACCGGUCCAUAUACCGCCGAUUGCUUUGUUUUAUAAAGCAAGCGUGGACCGGAGUCAAGUUUGGUUCAGACGCCGAGUUCGAGAUCAUAGAGCAAGAGCCCCGCUACAGACCCGAGGACAUCAACGCCCUCUGCAGAACGACGCACUUCACGCGACCGGAACUGCAGCGCCUCUACAGGAGUUUCAAGGACAGGUGCCCCACGGGAGUCGUUACCGAACACGCUUUCAAGGAGCUUUAUUUUCAGAUGUUCCCUAAGGGAGCCAGUCUGAGCAAAUACCCACACUACGUGUUCAACAACCUCGAUAAGGAGAACACCGGGGUCAUAAAUUUCGAGGAUCUGAUCACUCUUCUGUCGCGUUUAUCCCGGGGUUCCCUGAACGACCGACUGAAGUGGAUUUUCUCCCUCUACGAUCUGGAUGGCGACGGGUGCAUCACCCGGCAAGAGAUGACGGACGUGGUGCAAGCCGUGUAUGACUUGAUGGGCAAGCACACAGACACGCCUGUGGAUGAACAGACGGUGGGGCAUAAAGUUGAAGAACUUUUCACGACGCUCGACUUGAACAAGGACGGAGUCAUCACCCUGGACGAGUUCACGGAGGCGUGCGGCCAGGACAGCACCAUCGUGUACAACAUCGACGCCAUGCUGCACUGCGACCUGAACCUCCUGCAGUCCGCUUCGGAGUCCAACGGCUCCUCCGGCAACGAUCGACCUCCUUCCAGAAACGGCAAGAGGUGACUGUAGCUGCUGGAAGACUACGACGAGGAUUUCCACAAGACGUUGUUGCUCUGCGAGACGCAGCAGAUGGAGGGAGCCACCGUUGACUAAGAGUCUUGACGCAUACUGGACCUAUUGUUGACAUCUGCAUGAACUAAUGUUGUGGAGUCGAUACCAGAAUGUCUUUUGAUAUAGACCUACCUUCAAGUCUUGAAAAUGGUCAUACAAGCAGAUAAAGAGGGCGUUUUUAAUAAAGAUGACAUGCGAAGACUACUUAUUGCUGUGAAUGUUAGUAAGCAGGUGAAGAGUUGUGAAUUUCAUUUAUCUACACAUGAGAUUAAAUGUUGUGCGAUGGACGAAAAGACAAGGUACUUAACUUCAUUAGCGACAGAAUCUUCAAUGCCUGAAUUCAUUCUGCAGAUAGUCAAAGUGGCUGCCAGACCAUAUCCUGAAAUCCUUGAGAGGUAACAAAGACCCUUCCAUGUCACUUCAUUGAAAUCACCAACGUUCAUAGUUUUAUGUCAAAAUUUUUGGUGCGAAAGAAAAAUCAGAGCUUGCGGUUUUAUGCACAAGUAAGUAAAAGAUACAAUGCCAUUGUAGUAUUCGCAGCCAGUAUUGAUAGAAGUAGUAGGAAAGGUAGUAUUUGCUCUGGUAUAAUAGUUUCGUUUCAGUGCAUCAAAAAUUUCAUGCAACUUCCAUAUUGAAAUCUGAUGAAUGGUGUAGCAUUUCGCCUCAUAUAAAAGAUCUACCGAAAUUAAUAAUAAUAAUUUACGUGUGAGUAAGCAGCCAACAUUGGGCGAAUGUUCAUUGUUUAUCAUUUGACGUUGAUACAUACAAUUUUAUCAAUAAAAAAAAACUUGUACCUAGGGAAGCGAGAAUGUGUCGCCGAGGUCUUGGAUUGAAGUGAAAUUCUCUUGCCUCUCGGAAAGUGAGGAAACAAGGAAUAGUUGGAAAUAUUUGACCGGCGAGUAAUUAAUUAACUCAAAUCUUUCGUCUGUUGAGUUAUAACUGCCAGCAUGAGUGUGUUAGUGUAAUUAUCAUUUUCAGUUUGGUUUCACGAAAGAAAAAGGUUUUUAAUAGCAUUAAAACAGAAUUAUUUUUGGAAUCAAAACUAAAGGAAGUCAAUCAUCAGUAGCAAGUUUGCACUGGGAAGCUUAAUAGAGAUUGGUUACUGACAGUAGUCUGUUGGUAGUAAGUUGAUUACUGGAAGUAGUUAGUUGGUAGUGAGUUGGUUUGAGAAUAUUAUUUGUUUGGUAGUCUGAUGGUUAAUAUGUUCACCAAAAGUGAGACAUUUGGGGUUUCGUACUAAUUAUUGAAUUCAUCAUUGACUUCUAUAGUAAUUCGAGCAAAGGGAAAUCUAGGCCUUACAUAUGGAAGUUAAUUGCAUUUAAUUAUUUUUCAUUCAGUGACAUACGAAGAUGGUUCCCUAUAAAAACAAUGUUAUGAAUGUAUUCGAGCAAGGCUUUGUUCUUAUUAGAAGAAUAUAUUUGGAAACAUUUUCUUUGCGGAUCUAGUCAAGAAUUAUUGCAAAAAAUGGCAAAUUCUGUUUUCGUGGAAAUUCGACUUGUGAAAAGAAGAAAAAAACUUGCCUUAUCGUAUGACGCAAUCAGCGGAACAGUGAAAACGUAAAGCCUCUUUUUAAAUCUAUUCUAGAUUUUACAUGACCGGUGACUGUUUGUAUCAUGACGCGUUGAUAUCCUCUAAAGAGAGAGAACCAAUCAAAAUACUUAGCUCUUGGGGCCAAGAGUAUACCGAAUACUCUUCUGAAAAUGAAGUCUAUUUUUAUUAUUAUCACUCCAUCAGUUGCUGGCAGAACCCAGCACGGGUGAGUUUCUUCGAUACUGAUAGCAUACAAUUAAAAAAAAAAAGAGAUUAAUGAUAGACCUUCUAAUGCAUUAAGUUCUUUCUUCAUACUAAUGAAUGUAGAUAAAAUGAUGAUGAUGAUAGUCUGUGUUGUUGUAUGGUUUCGGUAAAUAUUUUAUAAAUAUAUAUAUAUGCUGUAACUCUUUUAUCCCAAAGUUACUUCUCCGAGAGAUAAUGUAUAUAGCUAUGAGAGAUAAUCCAUUGUAUGCACAUUAAACUGUACAUUCGAUUGUACCGCACUUUACUGUACAUUAUCCAUUAGCACAGGUACUUUCGACUGUACUGAGCUGUACAUUAUUUCUUUUACUGUAUAGAACUACCUAAGCGACUCCGUUGAAACAUUUCAGUGUUAGUCUAAGCGACGAGGAGAAAAAAGAAGAAGUGAAAGAUAUCUUGUUAUUUUGUAAAAGUUGUGGAGAUUUUGUGAAUCGUCCAUAUUCGUUUUUCUGUACGUGUGAAUUCAGACGACCCAGCAAUAGGCACAGCACCUCUCGUAAUGUAUCUCUCGACGUUCUCCCUGUUUCUCGUAAUUGUCAUAUCUACUUUCAUUCCGGUAGAAGGUUCUCGCUUGCCUUGUUGGUCUCUGCUCCUUUUCAUACAGUGUGUCAAUGCAAAUGGAUGGAUAUGGUCAAUUUCUGUAUCUUGCAGAUGAGAAAAAGGUAUAGUAAAUCUUCCUUCAGUUUAGGAAUGAGUAUUUUGUACUAAAAUUGUUAAGUAAAUCUUCCUGCAGUUUAGAAACAGUAUUGUUUCAUAAAUCUUCUUACAAUUUAGAACAGAGUAUUGUUUCUUAAUUAAACAAACCUUCCUGCCAUUUAAAAAAAGAGGAUUGUCUCUUCAAAUUGUUAAACGAUUCUUCCUGCAGUUUAGAAAAAAGUAUUGCUUCUGAAUGGAAUAAAUCUUCCUGCAAUUAAAAAAGAGUAAUUUCUCUAUAAAUCGUUAAGUAAAACUUUCUGCAGUUUAGAAAAGAGGUAUUGUUUCCUUAAAAUCAUUAAAAAGUCAUCAUUGUUUAUAGAAAUAUUUUCUAGACAGGAAAUUACGUAACUGUAUAAAUCGUGCAUGGUUCAGCCAGGGGGCUGUCAAGGGUAAUAAAUUCGAUAUCAGGUUUUCGUUGUAUGAACAGAAAUCUUUUAAUUUAAACUGGCGGUAAACGUCCACCGACUGCCCGAUCCAGAUUACUCAAAUGAAAUUACAUUAAGUGAAAAAUAAAACGGUAAAAUUGCUGUACAUUGUGUUCAGGUAUAAGAUAGAUACAAUUACUGUGCAGUUACAUCCGUCUAAAGGAACUUUGUGUGAGGAAUGCCAAGACGUUUAUGUAUAGAAAACUAUCGAACUGUUAAAUGUCCAGAUUAUUCUGACUAAAUUGUAUAAAGUGAAAAAUGUUAAAAUUGCUAUACGUUGGAUCCAGGUAUCAUAAAUGUAUAAUUAUAGUUACAUCUGUUUAAAAUAAUUUUGUACAAGAAAUUAUAUCACAUAUAUCUAUGUCCAGAAAUAUCAGAUAUUAAUAUAUGUAAAGAUGACAGUCCCACUUAUGAUGAUAUUUUUUAACUAGAUAUAUAUCUGUAUCAUGCCUCUUUUAUUUUGAAACUAUUGUGUGUGUCCAAAAGCAGGUGCAUAAACGCUACACGUUCCCUUCAUUGAGAAGAAUAUAUUUCCUAUUGAGAAGAAUAUAUUUCCUUUUGUAUAUUUAAUUGCUUUCGUCUGUGAUUAUCGGAAGAUGGUUUAUAAACAUAUCAGUCACUGUGGCAUUAGUUUUAGGCGACUAUUUGUUAAAGAAAGAACCAUUAACUAUAUGACUUUAGUUUUUCUCAACAUUGUUAUGACUAUAAAUGUUAUUUCAUCGAUUUUUAUCAGGCUUUGUAUUUCGUAAAGUUACAGUUGAGACUUUGCGGCUGUAUUUGUCCUGAAGAAUAGGACGACUAGGAUUUCAGCUUGUCUGCUUGUCAUGCAUAAUAGAAACAAGCUUUCUUCAUAUUGCUGUCCUCCCUUUUGAUCAAAUAAUUGUCCUUCAUCAUCAAGCUCCUUAACAGACAUUGUAUACGUACACAGUCUUGACACGGAUACGCAAACACGUACGCACACACACACACCCACACACACACAC